GGCAAGCAGGCAGCAGGCAUGGCCCGUGUUGCUGCUAUCAUCCUUUGUGUGAUGCAGGGAAGUGUUUUUGUUUGCUGCUGAACCUGGGCAAGUGUGAUUUUAACAGCAAGCCCAGCUAAGAGAGGAACAGGAUCACUCCAUCCUCCAUCAGUGGCAAUGGGACAAUCACCUCUGCAAGGCAGCACUGCAAGGCACAGACUUCCCUUCCAUCACGGGGACUUUGCCUUUUGGCCAAAGCACAGGGAGGUGGUUUUGGCCAGUGUCUGAAGGGCAAUUUGGCUGCUGUGGACCAGCAAAUGGGGAGCAUGAAUUUGGGAACUUGUGAAGGUUUUGGAGUGGUUGGACACAGG